AUUGAGCGCUGGCGGCAGGCCUAACACAUGCAAGUCGAGCGGCAGCGGGAAAGUAGCUUGCUACUUUUUCCGGCGAGCGGCGGACGGGUGAGUAAUGCCUGGGAAAUUGCCCAGUCGAGGGGGAUAACAGUUGGAAACGACUGCUAAUACCGCAUACGCCCUACGGGGGAAAGCAGGGGACCUUCGGGCCUUGCGCGAUUGGAUAUGCCCAGGUGGGAUUAGCUAGUUGGUGAGGUAAUGGCUCACCAAGGCGACGAUCCCUAGCUGGUCUGAGAGGAUGAUCAGCCACACUGGAGCUGAGACACGGUCCAGACUCCUACGGGAGGCAGCAGUGGGGAAUAUUGCACAAUGGGGGAAACCCUGAUUCAGCCAUGCCGCGUGUGUGAAGAAGGCCUUCGGGUUGUAAAGCACUUUCAGCGAGGAGGAAAGGUUGAUGCCUAAUACGUAUCAACUGUGACGUUACUCGCAGAAGAAGCACCGGCUAACUCCGUGCCAGCCGCCGCAGUAA
rnacentral:rRNA from 1 species